GUAAUGGUUUCUGGGUCAACAAGUUUUUCCAUUAUCACUAAUAACUCCAACGAGUAUAAAUAGAGCUUUUCAAUAUUUCCGUGGCACUCUUCAAAUGUUCACCGUAUUAUCGACUACUUAGUCUUGUUUUGUUAUAUUAUUUUGACAUACUAUUUUCAAAAUGAGAAUUCUGCAUUUAUUCAUCGUCUUAACUUUUUUCGUCUCUGUAGCUGUCGCUUAUACUUAUCAAGGAUGCUUGAUGGCAGAUUCCAAGUGUAGUCUAGAAAAAGGAGCAGUAAAAUGUUGCCCUGGUAGUACAUGCACUAAGAUCAAUUGGUUCUAUCCAGAGUGUUAUGAUCCAAAGAAGAAAAAAGAGGAAAAAAAAUCAUCUUAUAGUAUAUGGGGCUAACCACCAAUGAAACGAUUUAUGUUUUGCCUUUAUUAUAAAAUUAUGUAUCGUUUCUAAUACGCUAUGGGAAUAUACAUAUAGAUAUAUAUUUAUUUUUAAUUUACUUAAUCACGGCAGUGAAAUUAAGUUCAGUCUGAGUCAAAAAUAUAUAUUUUAGAACCAGAUUUUUUUAAAAAUCAGAUAUUUUAUUUAAAAAUGUACUUUCCUUAGACUUAAUUAUUUAUUUCCGCAAAGUAUUGGACAGCAGCUAAAGUUUUAAAUCUAAAACUAAUUUCUUAUAAACUAAAGUCUUAAUUAUUUUUUUACUGGGAACCUUUAAAAAAAAAAAUUAAUAUUCGUAUAAUUGUUGUUUAUUGAAAUAUAAAAAUUAUUUAAUUUGUACAGAGGUGAUAAAAACUAUGAAAAUAAA